CCCUUAGAUGUUCUGGGCUGCACGCGCGCUACACUGAUGCGUUCAACGAGUUUUUAGCUUAUCUGAUAAGAUUGGCUAAUCUUCUGAAAACGCAUCGUGAUGGGGAUAGAUUAUUGUAAUUAUUAAUCUUCAACGAGGAAUUCCUAGUAGGUGUGAAUCAUCAGUUCACGCCGAUUACGUCCCUGCCCUUUGUACACACCGCCCGUCGCUCCUACCGAUUGAGUGGUCCGGUGAGGCUUUGGGAUCUGAGCGGAAAGAGCGUUUCGCUGUUUCUGCUCGGAAAACUCAGUCGAACCUUAUCAUUUAGAGGAAGGAGAAGUCGUAACA
rnacentral:rRNA from 1 species